rnacentral:lncRNA from 1 species
GAAAGAGGAAGAGGAGGAGAGAUGGAUGAAGAUCUCCCGCCCUUCCUCUCAUGCAGUGCAGUACGAGAACCUUGUCCGUCUUUCAACUCCCAAAACCCGAGGAAGAAGUGCCCAGGAAGUGAAUUCUCCUCACUCAUUGUUAUGUGAGCAUGACUGUCCCAUCUGGCAUGUGAGUCCUAGUUUAAGGGACACUGUCGUUUCGCCCCGAAUCCUCCAGAUGUCCAUCCCCAAAACCCACCACCCCGACUUCACCAGCAACAGACAGAAUGUGCAGACAUUCAUCUCAUAUGCAGCUCAAACAGCUAAGAUGACGUCUAGACUGGAGCAGCUCUCACUCCCCAAACUAAGAAAGAACAGACACUUCUAUGACCCCGGACAACCAGAGAGUCCUAUCCGAACUGUGUCUAGAGGAGCAAGAAUCGCCACAGCGAGUGCCCGAAUCCAAGCUUUAUCCACUCCUAAAGCCCUCUCUAAAGAUUACAUCCCACCCAGAGAAGCAACAUGGCAGCCCUGA